UCUAGAAAUACCACUGGGUGCAAACCAAGAAAAGAGUGAAGUCGCAGCUGGGAAUUACAUGUCUGCCUUGAGAUAAAAAGCUUCCUCACUUUAUUGUGUCCAUGGGGACCACAUGGGAUCCAGGACUCCCUCCUCCAACAGGAGGUGAUAAGGCUGUAUCCGUACUUCAGCUUAUACGUUGAAUACUCCUACUACCAGGGGAGAGCUGCAAUGCAAUUAUUAAAAUAAUAAUGAUGAUGAUGAUGAUGAAAAAGAAGCUGGCAAGAAAUCUCCAAAUAGUAUCACAUGAUAACCAAUUUUAAAUAAAUUCUCCUAGAGUAA